rnacentral:rRNA from 1 species
AACGAACGCUGGCGGCAUGCCUAACACAUGCAAGUCGAACGAGACCUUCGGGUCUAGUGGCGCACGGGUGCGUAACGCGUGGGAACCUGCCCUUAGGUUCGGAAUAACUCCCCGAAAGGGGUGCUAAUACCGGAUAAUGUCUUCGGGCCAAAGAUUUAUCGCCUUUGGAUGGGCCCGCGUUGGAUUAGCUAGUUGGUAGGGUAAAAGCCUAUCAAGGCGACGAUCCAUAGCUGGUCUGAGAGGAUGAUCAGCCACACUGGGACUGAGACACGGCCCAGACUCCUACGGGAGGCAGCAGUGGGGAAUAUUGGACAAUGGGCGAAAGCCUGAGCCAGCAAUGCCGCGUGAGUGAUGAAGGCCUUAGGGUUGUAAAGCUCUUUUACCCGGGAUGAUAAUGACAUUACCGGGAGAAUAGGCUCCGGCUAACUCCGUG